rnacentral:rRNA from 1 species
GAUGAACGCUGGCGGCGUGCUUAAUACAUGCAAGUCGAGCGGCAGCACGACCUUCGGGUUGGUGGCGAGCGGCGGACGGCUGAGUAACGCGUAGGAAUAUACCCCAAAGUGAGGGAUAACUGCCCGAAAGGGUGGCUAAUACCGCAUAUGGUCUUCGGACUAAAGGAUUUAUCCGCUUUGGGAAUAGCCUGCGUUCGAUUAGCUUGUUGGUGAGGUAAUGGCUCACCAAGGCGACGAUCGAUAGCUGGUCUGAGAGGAUGACCAGCCAGACUGGAACUGAGACACGGUCCAGACUCCUACGGGAGGCAGCAGUAGGGAAUUUUCCACAAUGGGCGAAAGCCUGAUGGAGCAACGCCGCGUGCAGGAUGAAGGCCUUCGGGUCGUAAACUGCUUUUAUGUGCGAAGGAUAUGACGGUAACACAUGAAUAAGGGUCGGCUAACUACGUGCCAGCAGCCGCGGUAA